CCUACGGGGGGCAGCAGUGAGGAAUAUUGGUCAAUGGUCGGGAGACUGAACCAGCCAAGCCGCGUGAGGGAUGAAGGUACAGAGUAUCGUAAACCUCCUUUGUCAGGGAACAAAGUCGGGUACGUGUCCCCUGAUGAGUGUACCUGAAGAAAAAGUAUCGGCUAACUCCGUGCCAGCAGCCGCGGUAAUACGGAGGAUGCGAGCGUUAUCCGGAUUUAUUGGGUUUAAAGGGUGCGCAGGGGGUCUAUUAAGUCAGCGGUCAAAGCCCGUGGCUCAACCCUCGCACCGCCGUUGAAACUGGCAGUCUCGAGUAGGAGAGAAGUAUGCGGAAUGCGCGGUGUAGCGGUGAAAUGCAUAGAUAUCGCGCAGAACUCCGAUUGCGAAGGCAGCAUGCCGGCUCCAAACUGACGCUGAGGCACGAAAGCGUGGGUAUCGAACAGGAUUAGAUACCCUAGUAGUC
rnacentral:rRNA from 1 species